rnacentral:rRNA from 1 species
UACGGGGGGGGCUAGCGUUGUUCGGAAUUACUGGGCGUAAAGGGUCUGUAGGUGGCCAACUAAGUCAGACGUGAAAUCCCUCAGCUUAACUGGGGAACUGCGUCUGAUACUGGAUGGCUUGAGUGUGGGAGAGGAAUGCGGAAUUCCAGGUGUAGCGGUGAAAUGCGUAGAUAUCGAGAGGAACACCGGUGGCGAAGGCGGCCUUCUGGACAGUGACUGACGCUGAGACGCGAAAGCGUGGGGAGCAAACAGG